AAUAUUGACUGAAUGUGGACUUAAUUUGAAUAGUAAAAUACAAAUUAAAUACAAUGGUAUUUUACUAUUCAAGUUAAGUCCAUGUUCAGUAAAUAUU